rnacentral:rRNA from 1 species
UACGAAGGGGGCUAGCGUUGCUCGGAAUCACUGGGCGUAAAGGGUGCGUAGGCGGGUCUUUAAGUCAGGGGUGAAAUCCUGGAGCUCAACUCCAGAACUGCCUUUGAUACUGAGGAUCUUGAGUUCGGGAGAGGUGAGUGGAACUGCGAGUGUAGAGGUGAAAUUCGUAGAUAUUCGCAAGAACACCAGUGGCGAAGGCGGCUCACUGGCCCGAUACUGACGCUGAGGCACGAAAGCUAGGGGAGCGAACAGG